AAUGAUAUGAAAAACCAUCGUUGUAUUUCAACUAUAAGAAC
rnacentral:tRNA from 1 species